CAGAAGGGUCUUCACUACCGCAGACGCUUUUAACCUUACUCUAAACUGAGACAUAACGGUCUUCAGAUUCUGAAUACUGUUCUGAAAAACAUGUAUUUGUGGGCCCUCCGCUUGUGUCCGGACAGUACCAGACCGGAGGUAAACCAGCUAGUUUCUGGGUUACACCAACUUCUGGACAAAUACAAGGGAAAUGUCCCAGGUCCUUCACCUCUGGGCUGUGAAGUAUGGCGCGUUACUUCUGACUUAAUGUUAUUUCCAAUCUGCUUUAGAAGUGACAUACUUCCUUCCUGUCUUUCAUCAGAAAAAUCAACUCUGCACGGAUGACUUUUCUCCCCGGGGCUGUCUGCGGCACGGUCCUCAAGAGCCAUACGUGUGUCACUGACACACAUGGUCCCAGACACGGUGAGUCAUCAUUAAGAAGCCAAGCCCGUUCAUGACGGUAACAGUUCGAUACUCUAAAUGGAAAAGAUGGCAGCACUUCACCAGCAGAGACGUGCCCGGACAGCCGUCCCAGGAGCCCUUCAGCUCAGGAAGACAGCUCCGGACAGGGGCCCCAGCCCCCCGUGGCCGUCCAUCCUGUGCCGAGGCCCCCCACGAGGCCAAGACCCAAAAUGCUGGCUACUUAAGAAGCACAGGGAACUACACUGAAUUACAGUGUGCUCCAUCUUCCCUGAAUUCCAAACACUAUUGCCAAAUCCAUCCUCUGAAUAAAAGAUGGGGGAGCCCAAGAGAUGA